rnacentral:misc_RNA from 1 species
GUGGGAGCCAGCCUGCUGGCGAUGACGGUCUGUCAGUCGACUGAUGUGCGCAAUGAUGAACCGCAAUCGCCAGCAGGCUGGCUCCCAC